CUUUUACAGAAAAAUCAAGGUCAAGGUUCUCUAAAAAUUUCAUAUUCUCAGCCUCAACAACACAGAGUCUUCGAUUUGGGCAGCCUGAACUUUAAAUACUAUGCUCCUGCAAUGCCCGCUUAUUACGAACCGAGUCUUCCCGCUAAAGUGCCACACGAACUCGUCUUG